rnacentral:rRNA from 1 species
UGGGGAAUUUUGCGCAAUGGGGGCAACCCUGACGCAGCAACGCCGCGUGCGGGACGACCGCCUUCGGGUUGUAAACCGCUUUCAGCAGGGAAGAAAUUCGACGGUACCUGCAGAAGAAGCUCCGGCUAACUACGUGCCAGCAGCCGCGGUAAUACGUAGGGAGCGAGCGUUAUCCGGAUUCAUUGGGCGUAAAGAGCGCGUAGGCGGCCUCUCAAGCGGGAUCUCUAAUCCGAGGGCUCAACCCCCGGCCGGAUCCCGAACUGGGAGGCUAGAGAUCGGUAGAGGCAGGCGGAAUUCCCGGUGUAGCGGUGGAAUGCGCAGAUAUCGGGAAGAACACCGAUGGCGAAGGCAGCCUGCUGGGCCGCAACUGACGCUGAGGCGCGAAAGCUAGGGGAGCGAACAGG